UGUACAACAUGGGUGAAGAUGAUGUUGACAAUUUUCAUGAAUGUGAACCAUUUCAACAACAAAAUUUAGAAAUAUUAUUUCCAGAUGAUGAAAGAAAUAUACCAUUAACAAGGUUUUAAUUUUAAUUAUUAGUUAUUAUAUAUAUUGUUAUUCUGUUUAUUUUCUUGUUUAUUAUAUUUAUAGUUGGUUUAAGUUUUAUUUAUGUAAUUGUUUGUAGAGCACCUGAAGAUGAAGAGAAUGAUAGUUAAGAACAAUGACACACAACAUGAUACACAAGCACAUAAUACAUGGGGUCAUAUAGUAAAUCAUCCACCAGCACCUCAAAGUGCAACACCUAAAGUCCAAUCAUCUCCAUCUCCAUCUACCCCUCAAAAAAAACAUACAAACUAAAGUUACCUCCGAUAAGCCAAAACCUAUGCACUCUUGGAACCAUUCAACCCCCAAAUGCAAUUGGUGUUCAAUCAGAAAAUCAAGUAUUUUCGUUUGGUCAACCCCCAAAUGAAGUUGUCCAGUCACCCGUUGAAGUUGAUGUAAGUGUUCUUUCAAAUAUGUUAAAUAUGUUCUUUCAAAUGAUAAAAUAUGUUAUCUUAGCAUAUACUUUGAUGAAUUUUGAUAGUCAUGUUGUGACAUUUCUAGGAACCAGAAGUACACCUUGAAACUAAAACUAAUUAGACAA
rnacentral:sRNA from 1 species